CAUUUGUGGAGGAAGGGACAUCUGUUGCACAACAGGCCAGUGAGUAGCUGCGGAGCACAAUACAUUUUCUUUCUUAGCAAGCAUGAGGCUGAUGCGGAGCACAAUACGUUUUCUUUCUUUGCAGAUCAAUUUGAGUUUGUGGUUGCAACGUUACGCUCCCAUUGAGUACAUUUUUGGAAAAAGGAAUAUCUGUUGUACCACAAGCCAC